GAUGAACGAAAACAGCCUGUUGAUGGCUUAAAAUAAACCUGCCCUUUUCUAUUUAGCAUUUUAUCAAAUGAAAGUAAUUUCUUUUGCGGAUGAAUUUAGUUCAGCUCCAAAAGAUUUCUUCUCUUCUUCAUGGGGAGGCUGAAGAAUCAGAAUUGUCAUUCCAGAGAAAGGAAAUACUAUGCUUAGAAACAAAAGGCAGCCAGCAUUCAGGGAGCAGUCUGAGAUCUGUGCAGGUUAUUUAUUUCAAGGACUUGGAUGUGCCAAAACUUUGAAUUGAAUAACUCUGCCACAACAGGGUAGAGUGGGACCUUCUCAGGAGUACCGGGAAAAAUGGGAUGAGCAUUGUAAAGGUGAGCACAGAGGAGAACAGCAAGAAGGAAGGAGAUCCAAGACCUUUCUUCAUGUCAGCAAUUAAAUUCCUGAAGAUGACUAUUCAUCUAAGCUUUGUGAUUAUAACAAGGACAGGAUUGAAGGGAAUCAUGGAAGGAAACUGGGAGAAAUUUCAAAAACCUGAUCUCUGGACUUGCACCAAGUAGAAUUCAAGAAAGUAAGUUUCCUUUUCUUUCUCUGUCCCACAGGUUCCUUAUUCAUCUAAAGUAGCAAUUGCAAACACUUUUUAAGUCAUUUCCCCCUCUUUUUAGCCAGCCAUGUAACCUAGAAUGUGACAUAUAUCAUAAUCUACUGUGAAAGAACCCCAACUUUAAUUAUAAGAAUGAUCAUCCCAUCUACAGAUGUAAACUGCUUGAAGUUCGGGAUUAUUUCAUUUUUGUCUUUUUAUUCCCAGUGUCUAGGACAGUGUCUGGCACUUAAGUAUUUAUGUACUGAAUUGAAUUAAAUUACAAGAAUUGAAUUAUUAAAACAAUCACUCCAUCAUAUUUUUCCAUAGCUAUUAUAAAAUUUUUGUUGGUCCUGAAACAUAGUUAAAACUAUAUCAACAUUUUUAAUAGUGAUCUAACUCCAUUUAGUUUUUUAAUCUUUUAUUGAUGCUCUUUGGAUUUUUUGGGCUACAGUCAUAUCCCAAUAUCUAGUCCUCCCUACUCCAUUGCAAUCAGUCUUUAUAACAAAGAAAAAUAGUUAAGUAAAAACCAAAUGACAUUACAAUCACAGCUAAUAGCACAUACUCAUUCAUUUUUGACAUUUAGUGCUAGAAAUUAGGCUCCUUCCCAAAUUUUUGUAUUUCCCAACGGUUUUAUGUUUUCUUGGUAUAGUUAGAGUUUUGUCUUCCAUCUGAAGGUCUCAACAAGAUGAAUCUUUUAGAGAUAAAGAAAAUUUCUUUUUCUUCCUUGUUUCUCUUUUUUUUUCUUUAAAAAAUUGCUACAUGUUGAGUUCUGUUCAUUUCCCUCUUUCUGUGUCU